rnacentral:tRNA from 3 species
GGGCAACUAGCUCAGCUGGUUAGAGCAUUCCGUUCACAUCGGAAAGGUCACAAGUUCGAAUCUUGUGUUGCCCA